GCAUAUCAUAAGCGGAGGAAAAGAAACUAACAAGGAUUCCCCUAGUAACGGCGAGUGAAGAGGGAAAAGCUCAAAUUUAAAAGCUGUUGUCUUUCAGGCAACCGCAUUGUAAUCUCAAGAAGUGUUUUCGAUUGUAGCCUGCGUAUAAGUACCUUGGAAUAGGUUGGCAUAGAGGGUGAAACUCCCGUCUUUGAUGCAGAUUACUAUGAUCAUGUGAUACACUUUCUAAGAGUCGAGUUGUUUGGGAAUGCAGCUCAAAAUGGGUGGUAAAUUCCAUCUAAAGCUAAAUAUUGGCCUGAGACCGAUAGCGAACAAGUACCGUGAGGGAAAGAUGAAAAGCACUUUGGAAAGAGAGUCAAACAGAACGUGAAAUUGCUGAAAGGGAAGCGUUUGAAGUUAGUCUGAUAGGAGUUGUUCAAUUGUUACUUUGGUUUCAAUGUAUGCAACUUUUUAUCGGUCAACAUCAAUUUUGAUUGAUGGAUAAAGGUAAUAGGAAUGUGGCUACAAUUUGUAGUGUUAUAGCCUAUUAUCAUAAACAUUGAUUGAGAUUGAGGACGGCAGUGUACCUUUUAGGAAGGUGUUCGCACCUAUUACACUAAGGAUGUUGACAAAAUAGCUUUAAGCGACCCGUCUUGAAACACGGACCAAGGAGUCUAACAUAUCUGCGAGUAUUUGAGUGACAAACUCGAAUGCGUAAUGAAAGUGAAUGUAGGUGUGAAGCGUAAGCUGCAACAUCGACCGAUCUGGAAUUUUUAUAAUGAUGGAUUUGAGUAAGAGCAUAUAUGUUGGGACCCGAAAGAUGGUGAACUAUGCCUGAAUAGGGUGAAGCCAGAGGAAACUCUGGUGGAGGCUCGUAGCGGGUUCUGACGUGCAAAUCGAUCGUCAAAUUUGGGUAUAGGGGCGAAAGACUAAUCGAAACCAUCUAGUAGCUGGGUUCCUGCGAG
rnacentral:rRNA from 1 species